GAUGAACGCUGGCGGCGUGCCUAAUACAUGCAAGUCGAGCGAACGGACGAGAAGCUUGCUUCUCUGAUGUUAGCGGCGGACGGGUGAGUAACACGUGGAUAACCUACCUAUAAGACUGGGAUAACUUCGGGAAACCGGAGCUAAUACCGGAUAAUAUUUUGAACCGCAGGGUUCAAAAGUGAAAGACGGUUUUGCUGUCACUUAUAGAUGGAUCCGCGCUGCAUUAGCUAGUUGGUAAGGUAACGGCUUACCAAGGCAACGAUGCAUAGCCGACCUGAGAGGGUGAUCGGCCACACUGGAACUGAGACACGGUCCAGACUCCUACGGGAGGCAGCAGUAGGGAAUCUUCCGCAAUGGGCGAAAGCCUGACGGAGCAACGCCGCGUGAGUGAUGAAGGUCUUCGGAUCGUAAAACUCUGUUAUUAGGGAAGAACAUAUGUGUAAGUAACUGUGCACAUCUUGACGGUACCUAAUCAGAAAGCCACGGCUAACUACGUG
rnacentral:rRNA from 1 species